rnacentral:rRNA from 1 species
GAAGGGACCUAGCGUAGUUCGGAAUUACUGGGCUUAAAGAGCACGUAGGUGGUUAAGAAAGUUGGUGGUGAAAUCCCAAGGCUUAACCUUGGAACUGCCACCAAAACUUUUUAACUAGAGUAUGAUUGAGGUAAGCGGAAUUUCUAGUGUAGAGGUGAAAUUCGUAGAUAUUAGAAAGAACACCAAUUGCGAAGGCAGCUUUCUAGAUCAUUACUGACACUGAGGUGCGAAAGCAUGGGUAGCGAAGAGGAUUAGAUACCCUCGUAGUCCAUGCCGUAAACGAUGUGUGCUAGACGUUGGGAAUUUAUUUUUCAGUGUCGUAGCGAAAGCGUUAAGCACACCGCCUGGGGAGUACGACCGCAAGGUUAAAACUCAAAUGAAUUGACGGGGGCCCGCACAAGUAGUGGAGCAUGUGGUUUAAUUCGAAGAUACGCGCAGAACCUUACCAACACUUGACAUGUUCGUCGCGACUCUAAGAGAUUAGAGUUUUCGGUUCGGCCGGACGAAACACAGGUGCUGCAUGGCUGUCGUCAGCUCGUGUCGUGAGAUGUUGGGUUAAGUCCCGCAACGAGCGCAACCCUUACUUUUAGUUGCUACCAUUUAGUUGGGCACUCUAGAAGAACUGCCGGUGAUAAGCUGGAGGAAGGUGGGGAUGACGUCAAGUCCUCAUGGCCCUUAUGUGUUGGGCUACACACGUGCUACAAUGGUAUUUACAGUGGGAUGCAAAGAGGCAACUCCAAGCCAACCCUCAAAAAAUACCUCAGUUCAGAUUGUACUCUGCAACUCGAGUACAUGAAGCUGGAAUUACUAGUAAUCGCAGAUCAGCGCGCCGCGGUGAAUACGUUCCCGGGUCUU